rnacentral:rRNA from 1 species
GGUCAAGCUACAAAGGGCGCAUGGUGAAUGCCUUGGCAUCAGGAGCCGAUGAAGGACGUGAUAAGCUGCGAUAAGCUUCGGGUAGGCGCACAUAGCCUGAGAUCCGAAGAUCUCCGAAUGAGGAAACUCACAUGGGAAACCCCAUGUAUCAUUAAGUGAAUACAUAGCUUAAUGAAGGUAACCCAGGGAACUGAAACAUCUAAGUACCUGGAGGAAGAGAAAGAAAAAUCGAUUUUCUUAGUAGCGGCGAGCGAAAGGGAAAGAGCCCAAACCGGAAACUUGUUUCCGGGGUUGUGGACAUAACAUAAAAGUGGAGGCUAUUGUAACUGAAGAG